UUCCCGCAUCGAUCCGCAAUGGGGGAGGUCUGACAAAAUCUACGAUGCGGGCGCCCUUUCUGGGGCCCCGCAAUCGGAAUGGGCACUUUCUAAACAACCUGUUGAGAACCUACUGAAGGGCAAGUCUGGUGCCAGCAGCCGCGGUAAUUCCAGCUUCAGCAGCAUCUAUUAAAGUUGCUGCGGUUAAAAGGCUCGCAGUUGAAUGUCUGUAUCGAGCGCAGGUCAGGUGGACGUUGGGGCGUGGAAGUACGGGCAGUUGGAUGUUCGGAGUGCAUUCGUGUUCGACGGCUCCUUCGGCUUUUCCACACACC
rnacentral:rRNA from 1 species